AAAGAGCCAUCAGGCAGCUGGUUCCACAACCAUCACAUCUCACAGAACUGGACAGUGCUAUUCAUCAGGCAUGGUGUCAGAUUCCUUGCAUCACCUUUCAACAUCUUGUGAGGUCAAUGCCAAGAAGAAUUGCCCCAGUAUUGAAGGCAAAUGUGGCCCAAUGGGAAGAGCGUCAUGUAGGGAGAGAG